rnacentral:tRNA from 1 species
GAGUGGUGUUCCGCGAGUGGUGUUCCGUUACUCAGGAGUCACACGCCAUGCCAGUCCGGCCUCGCAGCCUAUAUGAUACGGCCUGUCACGCCGGGGGCGCGGGUUCGAGUCCCGUCCACUCCG